rnacentral:rRNA from 1 species
GGACCAUCAUGUCGGUCGUGCCUCGGUACGUACUGGCAUUAUUGAUUUCUCCCUUCUGAAGAACCGCGAUGUCAUUAAUUUGGUGUCGUGGAGAAUCAGGACUGUUACUUUGAAAAAAUUAGAGUGUUUAAAGCAAGCUAACGCUUGAAUACAUUAGCAUGGAAUAACGAAAUAGGACGUUUGACCCUAUUUUGUUGGUUUCUAGGAUCGACGUA